CCUACGGGGGGCAGCAGUGGGGAAUAUUGCGCAAUGGGCGAAAGCCUGACGCAGCGACGCCGCGUGAGGGAUGAAGGUCUUCGGAUCGUAAACCUCUGUCAGCAGGGAAGAACGGUCACUGUGCUAAUCAGCAGUGAAUUGACGGUACCUGCAAAGGAAGCACCGGCUAACUCCGUGCCAGCAGCCGCGGUAAUACGGAGGGUGCGAGCGUUAAUCGGAAUUACUGGGCGUAAAGCGCUCGUAGGCGGUAUGUCAAGUCAAGGGUGAAAUCCCCGCGCUCAACGUGGGAACUGCCUUUGAAACUGGCAAACUGGAGUGUGUGAGAGGAUAGUGGAAUUCCAGGGGGAGGAGUGAAAGCCGUAGAUAUCUGGAGGAACAUCAGUGGCGAAGGCGACUAUCUGGCACAUAACUGACGCUGAGGAGCGAAAGCGUGGGUAGCAAACAGGAUUAGAUACCCCAGUAGUC
rnacentral:rRNA from 1 species